UACGGGGGGGGCAAGCGUUGUUCGGAAUUACUGGGCGUAAAGGGCUCGUAGGCGGCCAACUAAGUCGGACGUGAAAUCCCUCAGCUUAACUGGGGAACUGCGUCCGAUACUGGAUGGCUUGGAUUUGGGAGAGGGAUGCGGAAUUCCAGGUGUAGCGGUGAAAUGCGUAGAUAUCUGGAGGAACACCGGUGGCGAAGGCGGCAUCCUGGACCAAUAUUGACGCUGAGGAGCGAAAGCGUGGGGAGCAAACGGG
rnacentral:rRNA from 1 species